rnacentral:tRNA from 1 species
UUUCUUAUAGUGUAAAUAACACGUUACAUUUUCAUUGUAAAACAGAAAAAUCUUUUUCUAAGAUAC